UAAUACGAAGGGGGCAAGCGUUGUUCGGAAUUACUGGGCGUAAAGGGCGCGCAGGCGGUUCUUCAAGUCAGAUGUGAAAGCCCCGGGCUCAACCUGGGAAUAGCAUUUGGGACUGGGGAACUAGAGUUCGGGAGAGGUGGGUGGAAUUCCCAGUGUAGAGGUGAAAUUCGUAGAUAUUGGGAAGAACACCGGUGGCGAAGGCGGCUCACUGGACCGAUACUGACGCUGAGGCGCGAAAGCGUGGGGAGCAAACAGGAUUAGAUACCCUGGUAGUCCACGCCGUAAACGAUGUGUGCUAGACGUUGGGAGGCCUAGCCUUCCGGUGUCGCAGCUAACGCGAUAAGCACACCGCCUGGGGAGUACGGCCGCAAGGUUA
rnacentral:rRNA from 1 species